rnacentral:rRNA from 1 species
GAUGAACGCUGGCGGCGUGCCUAAUACAUGCAAGUCGAGCGAACGGACGAGAAGCUUGCUUCUCUGAUGUUAGCGGCGGACGGGUGAGUAACACGUGGAUAACCUACCUAUAAGACUGGGAUAACUUCGGGAAACCGGAGCUAAUACCGGAUAAUAUUUUGAACCGCAUGGUUCAAAAGUGAAAGACGGUCUUGCUGUCACUUAUAGAUGGAUCCGCGCUGCAUUAGCUAGUUGGUAAGGUAACGGCUUACCAAGGCAACGAUGCAUAGCCGACCUGAGAGGGGGAUCGGCCACACUGGAACUGAGACACGGUCCAGACUCCUACGGGAGGCAGAAGUAGGGAAUCUUCCGCAAUGGGCGAAAGCCUGACGGAGCAACGGCGCGUGAGUGAUGAAGGUCUUCGGAUCGUAAAACUCUGUUAUUAGGGAAGAACAUAUGUGUAAGCAACUGUGCACAUCUUGACGGUACCUAAUCAGAAAGCCACGGCUAACUACGU